rnacentral:rRNA from 1 species
AACGAACGCUGGCGGCAGGCCUAACACAUGCAAGUCGAGCGCGCCCUUCGGGGUGAGCGGCGGACGGGUGAGUAACGCGUGGGAACGUGCCCUUUUCUACGGAAUAGCCUCGGGAAACUGAGAGUAAUACCGUAUACGCCCUUCGGGGGAAAGAUUUAUCGGAAAAGGAUCGGCCCGCGUUGGAUUAGGUAGUUGGUGGGGUAAUGGCCUACCAAGCCGACGAUCCAUAGCUGGUUUGAGAGGAUGAUCAGCCACACUGGGACUGAGACACGGCCCAGACUCCUACGGGAGGCAGCAGUGGGGAAUCUUAGACAAUGGGGGCAACCCUGAUCUAGCCAUGCCGCGUGAGUGAUGAAGGCCUUAGGGUUGUAAAGCUCUUUCAGCUGGGAAGAUAAUGACGGUACCAGCAGAAGAAGCCCCGGCUAACUCCGUG